rnacentral:lncRNA from 1 species
GUUGAGGCUAAUAAAGUUGCAUUAAUAAAAACAUGGGAAUAAUGUGGGAACAUGUGUAUCGAGUCUUAAAUAACAACUUCACUUGGUAGUGGCCCCCACGUUCACGCCUUGCUGUCUCUCCCACCCCAUUGAAGAAGAGCUUCAUCAACAUCAUCAAAUCAAAACAAAACAAAACAAAACAAAACAAAACACCCAAAUAAAGUUGUAUUGAACAAAACCACUUUAUGUUAUGUCUAUGUAUUCUUAUAUUCACAUUACAUAAAAAUAUAACAAAGCCAUGGCUGCAACUAACAAGAGACGCCACGUCAGCACAAGGUUGAGGUUGAACUGGAAGCUCUUCAUUCUCUUCUUCUCUGCUUCCCUCUCAUGCGUCGUCGUUUUGGUAUCUCUCUUUAGGCUUCAUUAUAAUUAUAAUUAUGGCAAUGUCUCGUCUCGGGUGAUGAGAUCUUCAAUUUCUCGUGUCUUCAAUGGCCCUUCCAAGAUCGCAUUUUUGUUCCUUGUUCGACGUAACAUUCCUCUUGAUUUUCUAUGGGGAUCUUUCUUCCAAAACGGUGCCGUUCAGAAUUUCUCCAUUUAUGUUCAUUCCACACCUGGGUUCGUUUUCGAUGACUCAACUACCAGGUCCCAUUUUUUCAAAGCUCGACAAAUCACUAAUAGUGUUCAGGUUUUAUGGGGAGAAUCAACUAUGAUUCAGGCUGAAAAGUUGUUACUAGAAGCAGCUUUAGAGGACCCUGCAAAUCAAAGAUUUGUCCUUCUUUCGGACAGUUGUGUUCCUCUGUACAACUUUUCCUACGUGUACGAUUAUGUCAUGGCUUCUCCGAGGAGUUUCGUGGACAGGUAGAAGAAGGCUAUGAUUCUUGAGGUGCUUAGCACAAAGUCUUUUUUGACUGUUAAAUUAUAAGUAGUCCAUAUUUACAAUCUGUUCAUUGGAGUGAAAUGGAGGGUGUUGGUUUAAACUUUAAG